rnacentral:rRNA from 1 species
UGGGGAAUUUUGGACAAUGGACGCAAGUCUGAUCCAGCCAUGCCGCGUGCGGGAAGAAGGCCUUCGGGUUGUAAACCGCUUUUGUCAGGGAAGAAACGAGUUUCUCUAAUACAGAGACUUAAUGACGGUACCUGAAGAAUAAGCACCGGCUAACUACGUGCCAGCAGCCGCGGUAAUACGUAGGGUGCAAGCGUUAAUCGGAAUUACUGGGCGUAAAGCGUGCGCAGGCGGUUAUAUAAGACAGAUGUGAAAUCCCCGGGCUAAACCUGGGAACUGCGUUUGUGACUGUAUAGCUAGAGUACGGCAGAGGGGGAUGGAAUUCCGCGUGUAGCAGUGAGAUGCGUAGAUAUGCGGAGAAACACCGAUGGCGAAGGCGAUCCCCUGGGCCUGUACUGACGCUCAUGCAAGAAAGCGUGGGGAGCAAACA